CAAUUUCCGUCACGUCUGCGGGCUGCAGGACUUGAUCUGAAGAGCUCCGACAGUCACAGAGGAGACCAGGACCAAGAGCGGGAUGGAGGAGGACAACCAGGACCCGGAGCCCCGGAGCAACAACGUCCCCGGAGGACAAACAGCAGGCUCGAGCUCUGAUAGCACCGAUGUUCAGAACCCACACUUAAUGUGACGGUCGGACCCGGAGAGGAGGAGGAGCAGGAGGAGGAGGAGGAGGAGGAGGAGGUCUCUUGUAGCAUGUAGCCUGCUGCCUGGGUGUUAGCAUGCUAGCUAGCGGGACAAAUCUAACGUUUUCUUCCGGUUCGGCCGUUAAGGGAAAGUUAAAUUACAUUGUUGUGAAAGCUGUUAGGCUUUUUAGAUGAAGCCUUUAUUGUGUAAGAAAAUCAAGACCCCAGUUAGAGAACAAAUGUUUGACCAUAGAGGGUCAGAGAUCGAAGCAAAGUGGAGUCCCAUUGUUUUACCAGAACAGAGACCCGAGUUGACAUGAAACCCUGUAACAACUGACUCUCAGCUUCUUCAGGACCUCCUUUUAUAGCUCUGUUUCUGAGCAUUAUAUAAUCUCUUGGCUCUCUUUCCUGCUGCACCUGGAUCUGUGGAAAGUCCCAGAUAUUCGAGGGUGUCUCUUAUCUCACUGCCCCCCCUCCUUUGGCCUUGGCUUACUGCUUACUGCUGAUCUUAAUAUCUCAACCUGACUUUGUGGAAUAAGCUGGUGUCUUUUGUCUUUCUGUGUGCUAGAGACAGGACUUUCUUACUGUGCACUGUUCUUCUGCUGAGCCCAGGCAGUCAGAUACAUAGAGAAGCACUCACACCGAGCUACAGAGUUUUAACACA